rnacentral:rRNA from 1 species
GUAUGACGGUACCCUUUCGAAUAAGAGGUUGCUAACUCUGUGCCAGCAGCAGCGGUAAUACAGAGACCUCGAGCGUUAUCCGGAUUUACUGGGCGUAAAGCGUCUGUAGGGGGUUUGUUAAGUUCCAAGUAAAAUCUUAAGGCUCAACUUUAAGUUCGCUUGGAAAACUAAUAAACUGGAGUCCAGCAGAGGUGCAUGGAACUUGCGGUGUAGGAGUGAAAUCCGUUGAUAUCGCAAGGAACACCAAAGGCGAAGGCAUUGCACUGGGCUGGUACUGACCCUGAGAGACGAAAGCGUGGGGAGCAAAACGGAUUAGAUACCCGUGUAGUCCACGCCGUAAACGAUGGAUACUAGAUGUUCGGGGAUUCGACCCCCUGGGUGUCACAGCUAACGCGUUAAGUAUCCCGCCUGGGAAGUACGGCCGCAAGGCUAAAACUCAAAGGAAUAGACGGGGAUCCGCACAAGCGGUGGAGCGUCUGGUUUAAUUUGAUAGUAAGCAAUGGACCUCACCAAGGUUUGACAUCCUAUGACAACCCUGGAAACAGGGCUUCCUUCAGGCAUAGUGACAGGUGCUGCAUGGUCGUCGUCAGUUCGUGCCGUGAGGUGUUCCGUUAAGUCGGGAAACGAACGAAACCCUCGUCGCAUGUUACAAAUUUCAUGCGAGACUGCCCGGGUCAACCGGGAGGAAGGCGGGGAUGACGUCAGAUCAGCAUGGCCCUUAUACCUUGGGCUACACAGGCGCUACAAUGGCCGGUACAAAGGGUUGCAAAACCGCGAGGUGAAGCUAAUCCCAUAAAGCCGGUCCAAGUUCGGAUUGGAGGCUGCAACUCGCCUCCAUGAAGUUGGAAUCGCUAGUAAUCGUGGAUCAGCCAUACCACGGUGAAUACGUUCCCGGAUCUUGUACUCACCGCCCGUCACACCAAGAGAGUUGGUA